GAGAGAAACUGGUGAACUACUGUUUUUAAUGUGUCUAAAUACAGCUCUUUGAAAUGUGAAAUCUGGCUAGUUGCAUAUAAUUCAUAAAACCAUUCAGUAAUGAAACGAGGGACAAAUACUGGAAUUUUUUUUAAAGAAUGUAUGAGAAUUAUUUGGAUCAAAGGGGAAAAGGCUACAUUUAAACCCAUCUUCUCAAGAAUGCUUAAAUGUAAAUCUAUGAAAGGGUUUUAAGAUAAAAUUCUGAGAAUAAAGCCAGAUUUAUAGUGACUGGUCUUUAUAUUUGCUCCACCGUGUGGCAGCCUGACAACCAGCCACAGCUUUACCGUGCACCCUAACUUCACGCCGUGGAUAAUCCCGCCCUCGUUGCUUAGCAACGGCGGGCCGAGCCAAUCAAGCCGCCCGGCGCCGCGUCAAUCACGCCCCCUUUCCAGCUUCCGGUCAUCAGGGUUGGUUGCACCGGCGGACGGCCAUGGCGACGGCGUUAGACCCUUCGCGGACGAGAUGCUGCACAUGGAGAAUGGAGUACAUAGCCACCAGUUGCCCCAAACACCAGCCACCGAAUGGUGAACGAGGUCUGAUUAACCUGGACGAUGACAUAGAAACAUAGAAAAUAGGUGCAGGAGUAGGCCAUUCGGCCCUUCGAGCCUGCACCGCCAUUCAAUAUGAUCAUGGCUGAUCAUUCAACUCCGUAUCCUGUACCUGCCUUCUCUCCAUACCCCCUGAUCCCUUUAGCCACAAGGGCCACAUCUAACUCCCUCUUAAAUAUAGCCAAUGAACUGGCCUCAACUACCUUUUGUGGCAGAGAAUUCCAGAGAUUCACCACUCUCUGUGUGAAAAAUGUUUUCCUCAUCUCGGUCCUAAAAGAUGUCCCCCUUAUCCUUAAACUGUGACCCCUUGUUCUGGAACUUCCCCAACAUCGGGAACAAUCUUCCUGCAUCUAGCCUGUCCAACCCCUUAAGAAUUUUGUACGUUUCUAUAAGAUUCCCCCUCAAUCUUAAUGUAAUGUAAUAAUAAUGUCAGACAGCAGCAGGGGUGGAAGAUUGCAACCUUCACGUGGUCCGCCCUGUUUCGACUAAUGCAAUCAGCUCAACGUGUACAAACGGAAGAUCAAAUAGAACAAAGGUAAACAAAAAUGCUGGAGAAAUUCAUCGGGUGCAGCAUCUGCAGUCCAGCAUCUGGAGUUCCUUCUUGAACAUCAAAUAGAACAAAGUUGUCCAACAACUUUAGGCUGUGCACGCCACACGAAAGAAGAAGAAGAAGAAGACAACAGCAGAGGUCAGGAUCGAACCCCUUUCUCUGGUGCUGUGAGGCAACAGCUGCACCACUCUACCGUCCUUAAAUGUUAAUGCUUUUUUAUCUUUCCACAGAUGCUAUUUUGCCCGCAGGGUAAUCCCAGCAUUUUCUGAUUUGAUUUCAGAUAUUCAACGUACGCGGGUAUUUUUAAUAUUCAGGUAGGAAGCUCUCUAGCCCAAGGGAACAAGGGGUUUACACGGGAUGCUAUCAUUUGUAUCUCAACCAACAUUCAUUAAUAAUGUUUCUGGCAUCUUGCUGUAUGUACAUUAGUUGGGUGGUUUGUUUAUUGAACAACAAAUGAGGCAGUGCCUGCAUGCAGUAAGUGCUAGAAAAUUACCAACCCCGCCACCCCUCACCUGUGUUCACCUAUUGCCUAACAUGCUGUUAUGUCCCUAAUAUCAUGGCUAUGGAAUUUACAUAUUCAGAGAUCAUAAGCGUUACAACAUAAAUGCAAAUUUAUUCUGUUAAACUAAAUAAAAAAAAUAAUUAU